rnacentral:rRNA from 1 species
UUAGGAAUAUUCGUCAAUGGGGGAAACCCUGAACGAGCAAUGCCGCGUGAAGGAUGACGGUCCUAUGGAUUGUAAACUUCUGUUGUUAGGGAAGAACGACCUAAGCAGGAAAUGGUUUAGGAGUGACGGUACCUUUCAAGAAAGCUCCGGCUAACUACGUGCCAGCAGCCGCGGUAAUACGUAGGGAGCAAGCGUUAUCCGGAUUUAUUGGGUGUAAAGGGUGCGUAGGCGGCUUUACAGGUCUGUGGUUUAAGCCCGAAGCUUAACUUCGGUUCGCCACAGAAACCGUUUGGCUUGAGUAUGGUAGAGGCAAGUGGAAUUUCUAGUGUAGCGGUUAAAUGCGUAGAUAUUAGAAGGAACACCAGUGGCGAAGGCGACUUGCUGGGCCAUUACUGACGCUGAGGCACGAAAGCGUGGGGAGCAAAUAGG